UGGUAUCAGAGCCUAUGGUGGUGUGCGGCGAAGGUGGUGAGGUGUUCGUGGUCCCUACCCAGCGGGGACAGAGAAAGCCUAAAUGGCCCACACAUAAAGAUCCUGGAGAAGAAAAAAAAAA